rnacentral:rRNA from 1 species
UAGCGUAGGGGGCAAGCGUUGUCCGGAAUCAUUGGGCGUAAAGCGCGCGUAGGCGGCCCGGUAAGUCCGCUGUAAAAGUCCAGGGCUCAACCCCUGGAAAGCCGGUGGAUACUGUCGGGCUCGAGUCCGGAAGAGGCGAGUGGAAUUCCUGGUGUAGCGGUGAAAUGCGCAGAUAUCAGGAGGAACACCGAUUGCGAAGGCAGCUCGCUGGGACGUACUGACGCUGAGACGCGAAAGCGUGGGGGAGCAAACAGG